rnacentral:rRNA from 1 species
UACAGGGGGGGCAAGCGUUGUUCGGAAUUACUGGGCGUAAAGGGCUCGUAGGCGGCCAACUAAGUCCGACGUGAAAUCCCAAGGCUUAACCUUGGAACUGCGUCGGAUACUGGUUGGCUUGAAUUCGGGAGAGGGAUGCAGAAUUCCAGGUGUAGCGGUGAAAUGCGUAGAUAUCUGGAGGAAUACCGGUGGCGAGGGCGGCAUCCUGGACCGACAUUGACGCUGAUGAGCGAAAGCUAGGGGAGCAAACGGG